ACUGCCAAGGUUGUUACGGGUAACGGGGAAUCAGGGUUCGAUUCCGGAGAGGGAGCCUGAGAAACGGCUACCACAUCCAAGGAAGGCAGCAGGCGCGCAAAUUACCCAAUACAGACAAUGUGAGGUGGUGACGAAAAGUACCGGAUGGCGACAUUGUUGCCAGUCUGGAAUGAAAACAAUUUAAGCAAUUGAAUUGAGUAACGACUGGAGGGCAAGUCUGGUGCCAGCAGCCGCGGUAAUUCCAGCUCCAGUAGCGUAUCUCAAAGUUGCUGCGCUUAAAACGCUCGUAGUUGGAUCACUCACUAUGCAUUGAUGUAUUUGAUUUCAAUAAUUUGACAACAUACCUUUGGUAACAUUGGUCACUGUUGGUAAAGAUUGGAACAAGUAAUUCAGUCAGUGUAUAGUAAUUGCAUGUGAGGACGAUUGUUGACCUUGAGUGUGUUGAUGAUUGUAUCUCACAGGGCGUGCCUUGAGUAAAUCAGAGUGCUUAAAGCAGGCGAAAGCUUGAAUGUUAUUAGCAUGGAACGAACAAUCGUGUAUGGUGUGUGCUGAUAACGACACGUGGAGUUCGCUCCCGUGCCGCGGCAUACGACACCGACUACCAAUUACGGAUGUUGGUUCCGUAUUGGGGUACUGAUUAAGAGGAGCGGUUGGGGGCAUUAGUAUUUGGCAGCGAGAGGUGAAAUUCUUAGACCUGCCAAGGACUAACAAAUGCGAAGGCAUCUGUCCAGACCGUAUCCAUUGAUCAAGAACGAAAGAGAGAGUUUCGAAUACGAUCAGAUACCGUAGUAGUUCUCUCUGUAAACUAUGCCGACCCGGGAUCAGUUUGGAGCUAUUAUUCCAUGCUCGGAGUUGGUCCCCCUGGGAAACCUAAAGUUUUUCGGUUGCGGGGGGAGUAUGGUCGCAAGGCUGAAACUUAAAGGAAUUGACGGAAGGGCACCACCAGGGGUGGAGCCUGCGGCUUAAUUUGACUCAACACGGGAAAACUUACCUGAUCAAGACAUCAGGAGGAUAGACAGACUAAUGCUCUUUCUUGAUUUGAUGAUUGGUGGUGCAUGGCCGUUCUUAGUUCGUGGAGUGAUCUGUCAGGCCAAUUCCGGUAACGAACGAGACCACAGUCUCCAUUUGAUGAGCUGUAGAAGGUAUC
rnacentral:rRNA from 1 species